GCCACUUCGGACAUCCUCGGCUAAAAACAAGAAAACCCCGCUUGAACUGAAUGUCACUUCCUCGCGUCCAUCUCCAGGAUAAAGAUGGGACAGAAUUUCAUCGAGGCCAUUGCUCAAUGUCUCAAGGCUUUUCCCUUAACAAUGGAUACAGGAUGCAAUGAGGAAUCCUUCUCCGUCGGUGCUCUACUCUGUGGUCCAAACUGGAAUUGGG